rnacentral:rRNA from 1 species
UACGGAGGGUGCAAGCGUUAUCCGGAUUCACUGGGUUUAAAGGGUGCGUAGGUGGGUCUGUAAGUCAGUGGUGAAAUCUUCGAGCUUAACUCGGAAACUGCCAUUGAUACUAUAGAUCUUGAAUUUUCUGGAGGUAAGCGGAAUAUGUCAUGUAGCGGUGAAAUGCUUAGAUAUGACAUAGAACACCAAAUUGCGAAGGCAGCUUACUACGGGAACAUUGACACUGAGGCACGAAAGCGUGGGGAUCAAACAGG